CAACGACUCUCGACAACGGAUAUCUCGGCUCUCGCAUCGAUGAAGAACGUAGCGAAAUGCGAUACUUGGUGUGAAUUGCAGAAUCCCGUGAACCAUCGAGUCUUUGAACGCAAGUUGCGCCCGAAGCCAUUAGGUUGAGGGCACGUCUGCCUGGGUGUCACGC
rnacentral:rRNA from 1 species